CAACAACAAUGACAACAAAAGCAACAACAACAACCUUGACUACGACAACAACAACAACCUUGACUACGACAUCAACAACUACAACAGCCUUGAUUACGACAACAACAACAACAACAACAACAACAACAACAACAACAACAACAUGCUGAUGAACAAAAACAUGCACUUAAUUGUUUUGAAAUUUCUGAUGUAGUUUAUGAGAUUUUAGUCAAUUUGGUGUAGCUGUUUCAAUGCUGUCACCAUGGUCCUAGCCAGUGCACUCACUUAUGAGAGGCAUUCACCCCCUGAAAGUAUUAAUAAUAUUAAUAUGGCAGAUGUUCGGGCGGUGAUUGCCCUUGGCUAGAAACUUGGCAACAGCAUUUUGAUGACAAAUCAUUGCGAAACAUAAAUAAAUAUAUCAUGAUUCUUUGGCUGAGUCGACCUUAUGUUUGUCUCUAUUCUGUUGCAU